GCAAGUCCUAUACAUAUCAUAAAAUGCUCAAUAGAAAAUGGAACAGUACCAGUGGAAUGGAAAAGAGCUGAGGUGGUUCCCAUAUAUAAGGCUGGCCAUACACUAUCAUGUACACCUGACAGGUACGCCUGAACAGUCACGCCUGUCAGGUAUACCUGAUAGUGUAUGGCGGGAAAAACUAGCCUCUCAGGCAACUUGACAACUGAUGAAAAUUCAAUCAGUUCUGCCUGACAGGCGAGUAAACUUGAUGUGUGUGUGUCGGUUUCAUCAGGUGUACCUGAACAGGUCUCUCAGUUAUUAACAAUCCUUUGAUAUGGACAGUUUAAAUUUUUUUGUGUACAGCUUUGUAAUUUUGAUUUAUUUUACAGUUGAGUUCCUUUAAUUUUUUUAAGUGCUAAAUCAAACAAACAGUUUAGUUACACAUUGAAAAAUGUCGCAACGAAAUAUUGAAGUUCUUGGUGAGUUUAUUGAAUUAUACAAAAGUGAACCUUGCUUGUGUAAAGUAAAAGUUGAUGAUUAUCACGAUAGAGACAAAAGAGAUGCUGCAUACAGAAAAUUAGUGAUGAAAUUAAAGGAAAUAGAGCCUGAUGCUAAUGAGACUGGUUAAAAAAAAAAUUAACAGUUUGAGGUCCAAUGUUCGAAAGGAGCAGAAGAAAAUUGACUCCUCAAUGAAAUCGGCGCCUCAGCAGAUAAUGUGUACAAACCUUCCCUGUGGUACUUCAAACUUUUUGAUUUCAUAAAGGACCAAGAUAAUCCUAGAUCAUCGGUCUCAAAUUUAUCUCCUGAAAAUGACAAUGAUGAGGUGAACAUUGAUGACCCAUGUCCAGAGGAAAACGAUUUGACACCAAAUGUCUCUCAAGAAGAGCGGUGGGAACCGAAUCAACCUACACCGUCGACUGGAAUUUCAUGACCUGGGCCCAGUAACAAGAGGAAAUCCAAUGAUGAUACAUCAGCUGAAAUAUUGUCCACUGUUCGUGAUUAUUUCAAACAACCGCAACCACAAAUCGACUGUUGUACGCUCUUGGGAAGAACAGUAACUAUGAAAAUGAGGGGCAUUAAAGAUAAACGCCUGCACAUCAUGUUCGAAAAAGAAAUUAAUGAUUUACUAUUUGAAGCAGAAAUGUGCGCUCUGAACUACUCAAAUUCCACUUUAGCAAGUCCAGAAGAUUACACAUCAGUUCCCACACCAACUCCACAACAUUAUACACCAGUUCCCACACCAACUCCACAACAUUAUACACCAGUUCUCACACCAACUCCACAACAUUAUACACCAGUUCUCACACCAACUCCACAACAUUAUACACCAGUUCCCACACCAAGUCCACAACAUUAUACACCAGCUCCUACACCAAGUCCACAUCAUCACACACCAGCUCCCACACCAAGUCCGCAACAUCACACACCAUUCAUGCAACAAGAACAAAACACAACUUCUCACAACAAUACAGAAACGGCAGCAACGUUUCUUUCAAAUUUCACUGCAACAUUUGAAUGAGUGAAUAUGAAAAUAAAAAGUUUGUUUAAGUAUAUUAAAAGUUGACGUUAUAUUUUUCCUUCUUUAUUAUUGAAAGGUGUCUUACUUUUGAAUGAGUAAAUAUGAUAAUAAAAAGUUGUUUAAGUAUAUUA